rnacentral:tRNA from 1 species
CAAAUUAAAGCUUAAAUAAGCAUUUUAUUUACACUAAAAAGAUAAUUGUGAAAUUCAAUUUAAUUUGA